AGACAGCAGUCACCGCGGGAAUACGAAGGGGGCUAGCGUUGUUCGGAAUUACUGGGCGUAAAGCGCACGUAGGCGGAUAUUUAAGUCAGGGGUGAAAUCCCGCAGCUCAACUCUGGAACUGCCUUUGAUACUGGGUAUCUUGAGUAUGGAAGAGGUGAGUGGAAUUCCGAGUGUAGAGGUGAAAUUCGUAGAUAUUCGGAGGAACACCAGUGGCGAAGGCGGCUCACUGGUCCAUUACUGACGCUGAGGUGCGAAAGCGUGGGGAGCAAACAGGAUUAGAUACCCGCGUAGUCCCUGUCUCUUAUAA
rnacentral:rRNA from 1 species